CUGAGGAGACUGGAGGAUCUCUGAAGAGAGAAAUAUGCUUCUUUAUGCAAUGUCCCCAUGGUUACGAGCCGACCUCCGGUGCGUCACUUCCGCCAGGCUUGAGGGAGCUGGAGGCAUCGCGGGAGCCCAGCGGAGGGCCGAGACAACGGGUUGGCGUGGUAACCAGGCCUGGCCCAGCUACGUCACAUCCACCAGCUGCCGGAUGCGGGGAGUGUUCAUCGGAGUCUGCAGGCAAACGUGACUGAGGACGCACGCUGGUGGGGGAGGCCCACGGGAGAUCCAUCUGACCAGCAUUCUAGGACCAUCUGUGCAAUUCCUCAGCAGCCUGAGUGUGAGAGCGAGUGUAGUAAGAACUUACUAAUAAAGAUUUUUUUACAAGUCACACACUUUACAAGUAUAAUGCAGAGACAGACAAAUCAGGAUGUCUUAGAUGACAACAGCACCAUGUAUAUUUAAGAAUCUGAGUCCAUACCCAGCUACCAACAUCUAAACUGUCCCCAGUGAGAAACGGACCAUACAACCGUAUUUAUAAUUUUUUGUAAAUGAAUUAAUUUCUGGCCAAUAAGGACAUUUGUUUACGUCGGCGAACAAUUAAUGGGAGUGAUUACAGAGUGGGAGGCAUCUGAGUAGUCUGGUAAUGCGUCCUUCAAAAGCCAGACCAUCACGUAUGGAGGGGUUUACUUCCGGGGUGAUGCAUUCACUUCAGGAAGUAUUCCGGGAGUAUCUGGGAUGGUGCGUUUCAAUAAGAACUUCCAUCAUGCAUUCCAAGUACCGGAUGUCAGAUAUGAUGAACUUCUUUGUGAACUUUUUCUGUCUAUUUUGACUUUGACUUUGAAUUGGUCGCCACACUAGCGGACCCACUAGGUGGACAAUAUGGUUCCAUGGAGAUGUAGCAUUAUAAAGUUUAGCCAAAAUUGGAUAUAUGAAGCCACGACAUAAGACUCUGCCUACCGAUGACAUCAUUACUUUUCAUUACAUGUUUUUGAUCAUAUGUCUAUUAUGCUAUUUAUAUUUUUGAAAUUAAUUUGGUUUAUAUGAAAUGAUAUGUUUUUAUAGAUGAGGAUUUGUUAAAUGUGAUUUUUAAUAUUAGAUAUUUAUGAUAUCUUGUUGUUAAUCAUCCAUCAUGUGACCGGGGUCAUGGGGUAUAAAUAUGGCUCCCGGUAAAUACACCUUUACACUUUGAUAAAGGAUUGUGAUGUGAAACGCGUCAGUGUAUUGUGGGAACUGGACUAAAGUCAUCCUCCAUGGUUGAUUGGUGCAUGUAAGAUCUUUAUACUUGUUUGUGUAGGCUGUUCAAAUUCUCCUGAAGUUCCAGACUUAGGAGUUUUGCAUCAUUCUUGCAUUCCACCCUAUCGGCCAGUGGUUGAUGCCUUCAGUCAGGGAUUGUUAUUUUAUUUGGUUUUAUAUGUAACCUUGU